GACGAACGCUGGCGGCGCGCCUAACACAUGCAAGUCGAACGAGCGAGAGAGAGCUUGCUUUCUCGAGCGAGUGGCGAACGGGUGAGUAACGCGUGAGGAACCUGCCUCAAAGAGGGGGACAACAGUUGGAAACGACUGCUAAUACCGCAUAAGCCCACGGCACGGCAUCGAGCAGGGGGAAAAGGAGCAAUCCGCUUUGCGAUGGCCUCGCGUCCGAUUAGCUAGUUGGGGGGGUAACGGCCCACCAAGGCGACGAGCGGUAGCAGGACUGAGAGGUUGAACGGGCACAUUGGGACCUAGGCACGGCCCAGACUCCUACGUGAGGCAGCAGUGGGGAAUAUUGGCCAAUGGGGGACACCCGGAUGCGGCGACGCCGCGUGGAGGAAGAAGGUCUUCGGAUUGUAAACUCCUCUUGUUUGUGCACAUAAUGACGGUACCCAACAAAGAAGCGACGGCUAACUACGUG
rnacentral:rRNA from 1 species